rnacentral:misc_RNA from 1 species
CAACCCUCAAGCCCCCCAGGGGGCCUGGUGUUGGGGACCGGCCCCGCCUCGUCGCGGGUCGCCGCCCCCUAAAAUCAGUGGCGGUCCUGCCGCAGCCUCCUCUGCGUAGUAGCUUAUGAAACCUCGCACCGGAGCGCGGCUCGGCCACGCCGUUAAACCCCAACUUCUGAAA